CAGUAGCCACGGUAAUACGUAGGUGGCAAGCGUUGUCCGGAAUUAUUGGGCGUAAAGCGCGCGCAGGCGGAUAGGUCAGUCUGUCUUAAAAGUUCGGGGCUUAACCCCGUGAUGAGAUGGAAACUGCCAAUCUAGAGUAUCGGAGAGGAAAGUGGAAUUCCUAGUGUAGCGGUAAAAUGCGUAGAUAUUAGGAAGAACACCAGUGGCGAAGGCGACUUUCUGGACGAAAACUGACGCUGAGGCGCGAAAGCCAGGGGAGCGAACGGGACUAGAUACCCGUGUAGUCCCUGUCUCUUAUACA
rnacentral:rRNA from 1 species